rnacentral:rRNA from 1 species
AUGUCUUCUUCGGGGUAUGUCGUUGUUCCCCGGUGCUCGGUGAUCUUCGAUGGCACCAACUAUGCUGAGUUUGUGGGCUUCAUGCACAUUCAUAUGCGUGGCCUUCUUCUGUGGGGUGUUCUCUCUGGCGAGGUCCCUUGUCCGCCAUGCCCUGUUGCCCCUAUGGCCCCAAUUCCACCGGUGCCGCCGGUACUUGCUGCUGAUGCUUCUCAGGCUGACCGGGAUGCAGCCAAGGCUCUCGAUGAUGUUGCAGUUGAUGUUUAUGACCAGCAGGUAUCAGCUUAUUCAGAUGUUCUUUCUGUGUACCGUGAUGAUCUGUCUGCCUACAGUCAGUGGUGCAAUGAUGAUGCUCGUGCUGCGGCUGUUCUCACUCCGAGUGUCCUCCCUCAGUUUGCUUCAGAGUUCAUGGGACUUGGCACAGUUGCAGCGAUGUGGUCGUACCUCUGUCAGCGCUAUCAGCCUUCUGGUGAUGCUCUCUACCUAUCCGUGGUGCAUCAGGAGCACGCACUUCAGCAAGGUGAUUCCUCUGUUGAUGAGUUCUAUUCACAGUGCUCUGCCAUCUGGCGUCAGCUUGACUCUCUUCGGACAGUUGUUUGUGGAACUUGCCGUUGCUGUCAGACUACACGGUCCGAUUUGGAGUUUCAGCAGGUUCAUGAGUUCUUAUCUCGUCUCCGCUCUGAGUUCGAGCCUCGACGUGCUCACCUGCUUGCUCGUGGUCGUGGUCCUAUCUCGGAGGUACUUGCUGAGCUUCGUGCUGAGGAGACCCGCCUUCGCUCUGCUGGGUUACUUGUGGUUCCUUCAGUGUUGGCCACCCGGGCUCCUGUGUCAGCUGCUCGCCUCACUGCUCCACCACUCCAGCCCACUCCUUCAGGGGGGUGA